GAAUCAUUUCUUUUGGAGAAUAAAGAGAUUAGAGCCGAGAAGAACUCAUAACUCAAGUUCCAUUUUCGUAUUCCAUGACAGCCUCCACUAAAUCAGCUUCUGUUUUGGAGGAGAAAACGGAUCUUGAAGUUGUGUCAGUUAUGCUGAAUGUGUGUUAUGAGGAGCUACGGAUUUCUUGAUGAUGGAGAUGGAAGUUUGAGCAAGAGGGAGAUGCAAUAGUAACAAGAGCACCAUCUUAACCUCCAUUUGAUCCAAGGUGCGGUUUAGUAGCUUUUGGUCAGUAGCAGGUUUGGACUGAAGACUUGGAAGUGGUGAUGGCUUGGAGACCUCGUCAGAUCUCAUUCUCCGCUGUGCAGAUCCAUUGAAGACACAUGUUUUGUAAUUCUUAUUAGGAUUUCAUGUUGUAUUUUAUAUGGAUAUUUCUAUAACUUUAGCUUUUGUAUGUACUCAAUAUCAAUUUAUAACGUUUCAUGCAUAAUA